GGUCCAAUGGUCUAGUGGUUAUGAUUUCUGUCUUACAAGGUGCCCGCACCCUUCACACAGAAGGUCUCCAGUUCGAUCCUGGAUUGGACCA